AUUUCUUGCCGACAAUCGAAUGGAGCAGUAGAUAUUAUUUGGGCCACCUUCGAGCAGACUUCCCUCGGCUCCAAACGUGGACUUAUCAUAGUUUUCACCUCUUGUGUAUAAUGAAACUUGUGCGAGACUUUGGCUCUUCUUCUGCCUGGGACGAAUAUGUUUUUAUUGAGCAGAAGGAUAUCCGAUUUUCUCCAAUGUCCAAUAAUUGCAACAUGCUCGGCAUUUCCCAUGUCGAGUGUCAACCAAAGGAGAAGUACCGAAGUAAUGGUAAAGUGCCACUGAGACUUCAGAAGUAUCAUUUUAUAACUUUUAAUAUAUAUAACAAAAUUUCAUAAAGAUUACAUUUUAAGAAC
ensembl:ncRNA lncRNA:CR43457 long non-coding RNA:CR43457